CUGCACCAUCUUGGCCGCAGGGUCUCCUCUGUAUCCACCUGACACCGAAGUCACGGCACCACUUCCCGGCUGCAUGCCACCACCUCCGGACUCCGAGGGCACAAUGGAGCCUGAUGAGAGAACACUGUUGCUAGCCAGGGAAAAUAAUAGCAGAGCGGAGGAGAGCGGGACUCAGUCGGUUUGAGAGCAGAGAGCAGAGCUGGAGAGCGGAGCAGAGAGCGCAGAGCCCGGACUCACUGCAGGAGGAGGACAGGAGGCCGAGAGCUCCAGCACAGCCAGCCAGCCCCCCGCUCUCUCUCUCUCUCUCUCUCUCUCUCUCUCUCUCUCUCUCCCUCUCUCUCUCCCCCUCUCUCUCUCUCUCUCUCUCUCUCUCCAAUAAGGUGAGAGCCAGUGCUUCUUCCAAACACACAAGGCCUUCUUUCAAAGAAAGCUCCUUUUACAGAGGCAGGAUGGCUAGGAUUAUCUUUCCUUUUGUCCUCCUCUCUUCCUCUCUCCUUCACAGCACCGGCUCACUACCCCGCUACUCCAUGUCAGACAUUAAAGCCCCAGUGAGGAGCAGCACCUAGGACGCCCCUGAAACUAGCUGUAGAGUUUACUGACAGAGAGCUUGGUACCUUUGUAUUGUGGUCAUGUUCAACAGCCUUUGUUGAUGCUUUUGAUGUAUAUUAGAGCUUUAAAGAAAUAUCUGCAACUCAUUUUGUGAGCAGUGCAGUUGUUAAUAUUUAACGGAAACUGUAAUGAAGAACCUGCAAUGCUUCUUUUUUUAUGGCACAACCAGAGAUUUCAGAUUAACAAGGCGACAGCCCCAGAGCUGAAGCGAAAAUCAUCGAAGGAAGGUAGAGCUCUUGUUCACCACCAACAAUUCAAAGACAAGAGUUUUAAACACAAAACUAAGUGAAUGACAUUCAAGACAAGCUCUGUCUGGUUUGUUUUGGAGAGUGUAACAGAUACACUUAGCAAAAAAAAGGCCUCUAAAAUGCUACUUUCACAAAUUACUGGUUGUAUACUCUGCGUGAACAAAACUAGCUUUACAGAUCUUUGGUUGAGGCUUUAAUUUGGGAAAGUAGCACAUUAUAACCACAAUUUUGUGCACUAAAAAGGUAUAUGGAUCCCUUAUACAUCCAAGAUUGUAACGCGUCUGCUUUCUAAGGAUAGUGCCACGAUUCAGCUCUGAGCUCUUCAGGAGAAGUGUUCCUCAGAUAUAUUCAAGCUUUUCUGCGACUAUGGCUCAUACUAAUAGGAACAAAACCACAGAACAGUCCUUUUCUCCUUUCAUUCUCAUCUGCUGCAUUUGCAUUUUAUUCAGCCUACCAAAGGAAAUAGCCUGCAGCGAGAAAACUCAAACCACUAUGCAUAUAUGAAAGAGGGGAAGAGAGAGAGAGAGAAAAAGAGAGAGAGGCAGAGGGAGAGAAAGAAUAUGAAAGAUCAGGAGUAAAAGGGAGACAGAGGCAGACGGAGCGACAGAGCAGCCUGAAAGGAAAUGACAGAUUAUCUCAAAGCUACUGUCCAUUUCCACUGUAGUCAUAAGCCAAUCAUUUUGCAAAAGAGGGGGGAAAAAUGCAUCAGCAUGCACACUGCGAUAUGAAGUGCAAUCCACUCAUCCUUUGUCACUUAACUAUGGAUAUCUUUACUUGAAAGCCUUAAAUAGUCUUUUGAUAGUAUCUGGAGUCCAAUUUACAAAAAUCUCCAUGCGAUUAUUACUAGAGAGCGGAGGCACAAUGCUCAGCUGUCUGCGGAGGACUGGGUCAGCCUUAGAGGAGUGAGCGUUCAUGGAGCGUAUCCUCCAUCGUUACCUAAGGACACACCACAGGCGAGUGAUCGUCAUCAGACCUCGAUAACUGCAUGUGGUCUCAGCUCCUCUGACAACUAAAGGGACCCAUCACACGUUUAAGUCCACAGAGAGUGCCUCAAAAAGGCCUUUAAAGUGAGUAAAACCCAUUCUCUUUAAUUCUGAUUACACUCUGAAAGUGUCUUUAGCAUGCAGCGGCUAAAUUGGGCUAUCAGCGCUAAGUAGCGGCAGGGAAGAAAAGAGCCAAUUAUGCCAGUCACAGCCAGAUGAUGAUUCUCAUCUUUACUGUGUGUGUCUCUCUCUCUCUCUCUCUCUCUCUCUCACACACACACACACACACACAGACACACACACACACACACACACACACACACAGACAAGAGGAAGACGAAUAUUACUCCUUUUAUGCUGAGAUAAAGAGACCACACACACACGUCAGCUGACACACUUUCACACACUCAGACGUGUGCACACACCGCUGUAUGUUACUGUAUGCUCAAUUUAGAGCCCUGCGGAAAAUAUUAACAUUGAUAUCUCUUCUCAAAUAUCACAAAUCCCCUUUUCAUAUAAAGACUGAGUACUUUUUUCUCACAUCUCAACCCUUGGUUUCAUUUCUGACAGGUAAUGUGCACCAUACUGUUCACUUAUAUGUAUAUUUUUAAUACAAAUUGUAUUUCAGUGCAGUGUUUAAGUAUGAACAUGUAUUGCUUUUUAUUGGAAAGCAAUGGAAAAACAAAGAAUUAAAAAACACUUAUAAAAGCCAUUAUAUUUAUUAUCCAUCAACAAUGUCGCAUAUUACUGUCAUAACAAAACCUUGUAUCUCCAAAAGAGUAACUUCAGAGGAGGCAAGAACAUUCUUAAUUUUUCAAGAUUAAAGAUUUCAUUCCACAUCA